UACGUAGGGUGCAAGUGUUAAUCGGAAUUACUGGGCGUAAAGCGUGCGCAGGCGGUUUUGUAAGUUUGUCGUGAAAGCCCCGGGCUCAACCUGGGAAUGGCGAUGAAGACUGCAAGGCUAGAGUUUGGCAGAGGGGGGUAGAAUUCCACGUGUAGCAGUGAAAUGCGUAGAUAUGUGGAGGAAUACCGAUGGCGAAGGCAGCCCCCUGGGUCAAGACUGACGC
rnacentral:rRNA from 1 species